rfam:Schistosoma margrebowiei strain Zambia genome assembly, scaffold: SMRZ_scaffold0000109
AUCCAGCUGUUAAGUCCUAAAUAGGACAAAACGCGCGUCCUGGAU